GCUUUCCCUUCUCUCCUCCCACCUCUUUACACAUAGGCACACACAUGCACACACACACCCGGGCUGACUCCUUCCCUCACGAGCGUCUACUAUCCACUUUCGCCUGAGACCGCAGCAAAGCCAGGGCUUUGUUUUUUUUGUUUCUUCUUUUUUCAUUUGCUUGCUUUGGGUUUUUCCCUCAUGUACAGAGAGACUAGACCCACUUCACCCUUACUCUGCAGAGAGAGCACCCCUGAAAACAUAGGCCUUGGAUUGGCCAUGCAUCAGACUGCAUGCUACUAAUUGAUUUGUGCAUUUACGCCUCCCUAUUAUUUUUGCUCUUUCUAAAAAAAAAAUUUGCUUGCUAACUUUAAUUUUGUAUUCAGUCCACUUCGACAAAUUUCUUCACAUACCCAUUCUGGAAGAAGGGACGAAGAAAAGAAGAGAACGCUUGCGGAAUGCACAGAUGAAAGGGGACAGCAGAAAAAAAAGAGUGAGAAAAUGGAGAGCAUGUUCUGUGGGAGAGCAAGAGAGACAUGACCUACCCACCCAACAUAGCUACUCCCAUUCCAUAUAGCCCAAGACCUGAAAGCGCACGCGAAGCGAACGGUGUAGUCAGGGUAUAAGAAAUAGCACUGGACAAGGUCAGCCUAUGCUUUCGGGAAUGCUGUGGUCUACACUUGUCUUGAGUCUGUGGGAACUCUCCACUAAGGAGGAACUAUGGGAAGAAUUUCAGCUUCAGUGAGGUAAUAUCUCCAGCAAGUUUCGAGUUUAAAGAGAUGAGCCAUUAUGAGGUGGAGCCAUCCGCCAACCCAACAGCACACUCAACACAAUGAAUUGUAUGGUAUCCAAACUAGUGUCAGAUCGACUCUUACUUUCAGGGGACGUCAUAAGACAAUGACCCAACACACAGCCAGGCUGUGUAAGGGCUAUUUGACCAAGAAGAAGAGUGAUAGAGUGCUGCAUCAGAUGACCUGGCCUCUACAAUCACCUGACCUUAACCCAAUUGAGAUGGUUUGGGAUGAGUUGGACCGCAGAGUGAAAUAAAAGCAGCCAGCAAGUGCUCAGCAUAUGUGGGAACUCCUUCAAGACAGUUGGAAUAGCAUUCCAGGUGAAGCUGGUUGAGAGAAUGCCAAGAGUGCACAAAGCUUUCAUCAAGGCAAAGGUGGCUACUUUGAAGAAUCUAAAAUAUAUAACACUUUUUUGGUUACUACAUGAUUCCAUGUCUUAUUUAAUCGUUUUGAUGUCUUCGCCAUUAAUCUGCAAUGUAGAAAAUAAGAUAAAUAAAGAAAAACCCUUGAAUGAGUCGGUGUCUCCAAACUUUUGACUGGUCCUUUAUUGGCCAGUCCAAAAUUACUUUUUAAAUCUGUAACGGAAAUAAAUGUAUUUUCUUUUACCAAGUAAUUUACGGUGUCUAUGCCUUUAGUUUUCCAUGUGGACCAAGUUAUCGUGGAAUGCUGAAAGCAAAGGAUUGGCCAUAAGUUUGUGUUUUUAGGGAGUGAUAUUGGUUUUUGUAAAACCAUUUUCUUCCAUAUUGUUAUGGUAUUCUUAACUAUGAAGUUUUUAAUGUUUUUAGCUUUAUCCUUUGAAAAUAGACACUUAAAAGAUUCUGGGGAUGAGCAUGCACAUCUUCAAUAUGUACCCACUGUUUCUCUUUAGUGCAUUUAACUGUAUGUCACAUGGGUACGAAGACCCGUCGCGCACCUAUACACAUAAAAAACAAUACUAACAAGAAACAAUCUCUGACAAAGACAUGAGGGGAAACAGAGGGUUAAAUACACAAGAGGUAAUGGAUGGGAUUGAAAACAGGUGUGUGGGAAGACAAGACAAAACCAAUGGAAAAUGAAAAAUGGAUCGAUGAUGGCUAGAAGACCGGUGACGUCGACCGCCGAACACCGCCCGAACAAGGAGAGGCAACGACUUCGGCAGAAGUUGUGACACCUGUUUUAUUAAUAUGUAUCAAGUCUGGUAAGACUUUUGCCAUUAUAUUGCGUAUAAGCUCUGUUAUCACUUUAUUGUCACAAUUUAUUAAACGUAUGGGUCUAUAAUCAGCAAGGGACUAUCCAGAUUUUCCUGGUUUCAAUAUAACUGAAAUAACUGUUUGAUACAUGGAACUAGGGAAUACUGAAUUGAGUAAUAUAUAUAUAUAUAAUAUAUGCCAUUUAGCAGACGCUUUUAUCCAAAGCGAUUUACAGCAUGCGUGCUUACGUUUUGCGUGUGGGUGGUCCCGGGGAUUGAACCCACUACCCUGGCCUUACAAGCACCAUGCUCUACCAACUUGAGUGACGUGUGCUGUCAUUUGUGUAAAUAGGGGGGGGGGGGUACUUUGUCUCAAAAUGUUGAGAAGAAUUCUAUGGGAAAGCCAUCCAUUCCGGGUGCUUUUCUCCAUGCAAAUGUGUCUAAUCUUUCUUCUUGGGUGAUCUCUGUUUUUAGUGAUUAUUUUUUGGCUGCUGAUAAUUGCUUUAGAGUUGUUGAGUCUAAGAAUGCUAUAGGAUCUGUCCAACUGUUGUUUAAUUCUGAUUUUACAUACAUUUUCAGAGAAUCUUUUAAAAUCACGUUGUUUCUAAUUACUGCUUUUGUAUCUUUAUCUUUUAAAAUGAUAACUUAUUUAGCAUGUAUUCGUUUCGGGAGAGCUGCGAGAUAUUUAACAGGUUUAUUUGCCAUUAAACAGCAUGGUUUAUUUGAGUUUAACCUGUAGUUGUUGGCUCUCUUCAGAAGUAAAAGAUCGUAUUGUUCGCUCUCUUCAAAAGUAAAAGAUCGUAUUCCUGCUUAAAUUCCGUCCUUUUUUUCUUCUUUACCUUGUAAAGCUUUUUUUAAUGUUUUUAUUCUAAAAUAGUGAUUUAUUUGUUUUUCAUUUCUAAAUGAAAAUUUAGCCUCUUUGGAAUGCUCCCUAAAUUAUUUAUUUUUUAUUACCACGUCUGUCAAUCGUAUCAAAUUAUAAUUUGAUAAUUUAGGUCAUGGCUAAAAUAAUAGACAGACUUUGAUUCUAUCUGCUAACUUCAUAGCUGAACUACCCACUUAAAAAAAAUAUUGUCUUUAAUUACCUUUACAUUUUUGUAAUUUAGCAGACGCUCUUAUCCAGACCAACUUACAGUUAGUGCAUUCAUCUUCAGAUAGCUAGGUGGGACAACCACAUAUCACAGGCAUAUAAAGUACAUUUUUCCUCAAUAACGUAGUAGUAGAGUCAGAGAUAGAAGGGGGGUGCUGGUUAAAUUGUAUUUGGUUUUUUUAGACUCCAUGAGCAACCAAUGGGAUACCACUGGAGGGGCAUUCCCUAUUGGCCGGCUUUGUGCUCUGACCACUAAUAUGGUCCAAUAAGAAGAACGCUAAGGGGCAUGACCAACGUUCCCUCUUGCAGCGCAUCUCCCCGGACUGCCGCACACAACAAAUACAGUAUCAGCCCAUGGAGAGAAGCAUAAAAUUGAAGUUCAACUUUCUACAGUUUUCCCUGUUAAGUAACACCAUCAAUGUUUCCCUUUACUGUGGCUAUUGUGAUCGAAUCAACGCAAUAUUAGCCACUUUCAAUGCAACAUACCGAAACAAAACUAACUAUUCAAAACUAAUCAUCCAAUAGAUUUUGUUGUAUUCAGAACGCAUAGGAGAAGGAUUAUAUUGCAUUGACACGCACGACUCAGCCCAUACUCUACACACAGACUAGUGCGGCGUAACCAAUCAGAGCUGCAGUAGGCCUAUAUGCAAAUAGACCAUUGCCAUUUAUGGAUCUGUGCCAUUUACUUUGGACUGUUAACGGCAUGAGCGGUUGUGAGUAGAUGCGCUUCUUUUGAGAUCAGAGCGAGAGAACAUUUAGUUAAUAUCCUUUGCUAGUUAGUGAGUUAUUAGCCCAGUUAUAGAUCAUGUGUAGUCAGCAAUAGGGGAGUGACUGCUUCCUACAAGAGCACAAAACGUGUACAUUUCUAGACAUCUUUGAAAAGUGAGUCAGGUGAAUAGUUUUUUUUUGUUCUUAAAGGGGCAGUGUAUUUUGAGACAGGUUUGAAUAAGCUAAGUAGCCAAUAAGCAGAGGGUAGGAUAAUUGGUUUGAUUCUCUGUAAUAAAGGUAUGGGAAUAAUAAUGCAUUUUAUUUUGUAAAGUGGUUUCUUGUAUCAAACAACACAACAACAUUUUCAGUCACCGCCUUGUCUGAAGGACAAAUGAAUAAACAGGUUAAUGUCAAGCCCUGCAAGUCUCGUGGAAUGUAGGCCUACAUUGACUGCUACUGUCGGCUGAAUGAUAGCUAUUUCCAUGUUAAAAUGUAGGCUGAAAGACAGCUAUUUCCAUGUUAAAAUGUUAUGGGAUGCUUUUUUUCUAUUGUUUUUGAUGGUAGGCAACUCUGGUUAUGUUCAAAUAGCCAUAGUAAAUCAAAUCAAAUUGUAUUUGUCACAUGCGCCAAGUACAAAAGAUGUAGACCUUACAGUGAACUGCUUACUUACAAGCCCUAACCAACAAUGCAGUUUAAAAAAAAAUACAUAAAAUAAAUAAGAAUAAGAAAUAAAAGUAACAAAUAAUUAAAGAGCAGCAGUAAAAUAACAAUAGCGAGGCUUUACGUAGGGGGCACCGGUACAGAGUCAAUGUGUGGAGGCACUGGUGUUGAGGUAACUGAGGUAAUAUGUACAUGUAGGUAGAGUUAUCAAAGUGACUUUGCAUAGAUAAUAAAAGGGGUGGGGGGGGGGGGGGGCAGUGUAAAUGGUCUGGGUAGCCAUUUCAUUAGAUGUUCAGGAUUCUUGUGGCUUGUGGGUAAAAGCUGUUUAGAAGCCUCUUGGACCUAGACUUGGUGCUCCGGUACCGCUUACCAUGCGGUAACAGAGAGAACAUUCUAUGACUAGGGUGGCUGGAGUUUUUGACAAUUUUUAGGGUCUUUCUCUGACACCGCCUGGUAUUGAGGUCCUGGAUGGCAGGAAGCUUGGCACUGGUGAUGUACUGGGCCUUACGCACUACCCUCUGUAGUGCCUUGCGGUCGGAGGCCAAGCAGUUGCCGUACCAGGCAGUGAUGCAACCAGUCAUUAUGCUCUUGAUGGUGCAGCUGUAGAACCUUUUGAGGAUCUGAGGACCCAUGCCAAACAUUUUCUCCUGAAGGGGAAUACGUUUUGUCGUGGCCUCUUCACGACUGCCUUGGUGUGCUUGGACCAUGUUUGUUUUUGGUGAUGUGUACACCAAGGAACUUGAAGCUCUCAACCUGCUCCACUAUAGCCCCGUUGAUGAGAAUGGGCGCGUGUUCAGUCCUCCUUUUCCUGUAGUCCACAAUCAUCUCUUUUGUCUUAAUCACGUUGAGGGAGAGGUUGUUGUCCUGGCACCACACGGCCAGGUCUCUGACCUCCUCCCCAUAGGCUGUCUCAUCGUUGUUGGGACAGGAGUACAGGAGGCGACUGAGCACCCACCCCUGAGGUGCCCCCGUGAUGAGGAUCAGCGUGACAGAUGUGUUGUUAACUACUCUUACCACCUGGGGGAGGCCCGUCAGGUGUUUCCCUUUGCAGUCUGUAAUAGUUUGCAAGCCCUGCCACAUCCGACGAGCGUCGGAGCCGGUGUAGUAUGAUUCGAUCUUAGUCCUGUAUUGAUGCUUUGCCUGUUUGAUGGUUCGUCGGAGGGCAUAGCGGGAUUUCUUAUAAGCUUCUGGGUUACAGUCCGCUCCUUGAAAGCGGCAGCUCUACCCAUUAGCUCAGUGCGGAUGUUGCCUGUAAUCCAUGACUUCUGGUUGGGGUAUGUACGUACAGUCACUGUGGGGACGACAUCAUCGAUGCACUUAUUUAUGAGGCCAGUGACUGAUGUGGUGUACUCCUCAAUGCCAUUGGAAGAAUCUCGCAACACGUUCCAGUCUGUGCUAGCAAAACAGUCCUUUAGCUUAGCAUCUGCUUCAUCUGACCACUUUUUUAUUGACUGAGUCACUGGCGCUUCCUGCUUUAAUUUUUGCUUGUAAGCAGGAAUCAGUAGGAUAGAAUUAUGGUCAGAUUUGCCAAAUGGAGGGCGAGGGAGAGCUUUGUACACGUCUCAGUGUGUGGAGUAAAGAUGGUCUAGAGUUUUUUUCCCCCUCUGGAUGCACAUUUAACAUGCCGAUGGAAAUUUGGUAUGACGGAUUUAAGUUUCCCUGCAUUAAAGUCUCCGGCCACUAGGAGUGCCGCAUCUGGAUGAGCAUUUUCCUGUUUGCUUAUGGCGGUAUACAGCUCAUUGAGUGCAGUCUUAGUGCCAGCAUCGGUCUGUGGGGGUGUGUAGACAGCUACGAAAAAUACAGAUGAAAACUAUCUAGGUAGAUAGUGUGGUCUCCAGCUUAUCAUGAGAAACUCUACCUCAGGCGAGCAAAACAUUGAGACUUCCUUAGAUAUCGUGCACCAGCAGUUGUUUACAAAUAUACAUAGUCUGCCACCCCUUGUCUUACCAGAGGCUGCUGUUCAAUCCUGCCGAUACAGUGUAAAACCCGCCCGCUGUAUGUUGUUCAUGUCAUCGUUCAGCCACGACUCGUUGAAACAUAAAAUAUUACAGUUUUGAAUGUCCCGUUGGUAGGUUAUUCUUGCUCGUAGGUCAUCGAUUUUAUUUUCCAAUGAUUGCACGUUGGCCAAUAGAACGGAUGGCAGUGGGGGUUUGGUUUACUCGCUCGCCUAUGAAUUCUCAGAAGGCAGCCUGACCUCCUCCCCUCUUUUCUCACAGUAUUCUCUUCACGCAAGUGAGGGAGAUUUGGGGCUGUUCCCGAGAAAGCAGUAUAUCCUUCAUGUCGGACUUGUUGGACUCGUUAAAGGAAAAAGCUUCACCAGUUCGUGGUGAGUAAUCGUUGUUCUGAAGUCCAGAAGUUAUUUUCGGUCAUAAGAGACAGUAGCAUCAACAUUAUGUACAAAAUAAGUUAAAAAGUAAGUUACAAACAACGCAAAAAAACUAACAAAAUAAUACAGUUGGUUAGGAGCACGUAAAACUUCAACCAUCCUCUUGGCCACUGUUAAAACUGUAACUUAAAGCGGGUACAGCCUCAGUGAUCACAGUAAACGUGCGCAGGAAGUUGCACUGAAUUUUUACAAAGUUCGAGUUUGCGCUCUGCAUACCUGAAAUUUGCUCAGUGAUUAUUUUUUUUUGAAGGAACAUUGGUCAUGACCCCCAUAUAUAUGUUUAACCUGAGACUUUCAAGAUUUCUGACCAGCUGAUGAAUACAUACAUGACAAUAAAAGUCCUUUCAGAGACAGAACUUUUAUGGUCAUCUUGUGUCUGUUAUUGUUGAGUUUGUGUUGCAAAUCAAUAAAAACAGAACACUUGGAUGGGUUGCUAUAAACAUGUUUCAUUUCAAUAAAGUAACAUAAAAUGUGA